CGUGGGAAGUCUGUUGGUAGACGGCAUGGUCUCAUAAGCCAUUGCAACGAGAGUUCGAUUCUCUCUCCCGCAACCA
rnacentral:tRNA from 1 species